rnacentral:lncRNA from 12 species
CACGUGAGGAUCAGCUCCUGCUGUCCUGGGUGCUGUGGAGUGCAUACACGUGAGCACAGCCCCUGGUGCCAACAGGGCAGGAACAGGGCAGGAGUAGAGCAGACCCCCCCCCCCCCCCCCCCCCCCCCCCCCCCCCCCCCCCCCCCCCGCAGGAACAGAGCAGGAACAGGGCAGGAAUAGAGCAGGAACAGAGCAGGAAUAGAGCAGGAACAGGGCAGGAACAGAGCAGGAAUAGAGCAGGAACAGGGCAGGAACAGAGCAGGAACAGGGCAGGAAUAGAGCAGGAACAGAGCAGGAAUAGAGCAGGAACAGAGCAGGGAUGAUGGCUGAAGCUGCCUGGGGAAUGCCCUUCCCCUCCUUUGACGUGUGUCUGUGAUUCACUUGCCAGCUUUGCCCAACUGGAAUUACGCCUGAGCCCUCUUUCCAAUAAAAUACUGAUUUCAGACUAUUCCCAGAGGUGGCAUCUCAGUGGGUCAGAAAUUGAGGCUGGUGUCAGCUGGGAUGUUAAUUGUCAUUUGUGUGUUUUCUCUGCUCCCUGCACACCAGUGCAAGACAAUGAGUUACAACUUGUCAUGACUGGGUUUCAGAGGG